rnacentral:rRNA from 1 species
GACGAACGCUGGCGGCGUGCCUAAUACAUGCAAGUAGAACGCUGAAGAGAGGAGCUUGCUCUUCUUGGAUGAGUUGCGAACGGGUGAGUAACGCGUAGGUAACCUGCCUUGUAGCGGGGGAUAACUAUUGGAAGCGAUAGCUAAUACCGCAUAACAAUGGAUGACACAUGUCAUUUAUUUGAAAGGGGCAAUUGCUCCACUACAAGAUGGACCUGCGUUGUAUUAGCUAGUAGGUGAGGUAAUAGCUCACCUAGGCGACGAUACAUAGCCGACCUGAGAGGGUGAUCGGCCACACUGGGACUGAGACACGGCCCAGACUCCUACGGGAGGCAGCAGUAGGGAAUCUUCGGCAAUGGGGGCAACCCUGACCGAGCAACGCCGCGUGAGUGAAGAAGGUUUUCGGAUCGUAAAGCUCUGUUGUAAGUCAAGAACGGGUGUGAGAGUGGAAAGUUCACACUGUGACGGUAGCUUACCAGAAAGGGACGGCUAACUACGUG